UUCCUACGGGAGGCAGCAGUGAGGAAUAUUGGUCAAUGGGAGAGAUCCUGAACCAGCCAAGCCGCGUGAGGGAAGACGGCCCUGUGGGUUGUAAACCUCUUUUGUCGGAGAACAAAACCCGGGACGUGUCCCGGACUGCGUGUAUCCGAAGAAAAAGCAUCGGCUAACUCCGUGCCAGCAGCCGCGGUAAUACGGAGGAUUCGAGCGUUAUCCGGAUUUAUUGGGUUUAAAGGGUGCGUAGGCUGUUGGAUAAGUUAGAGGUCAAAUGUCGGGGCUUAACCCCGUGCCUGCCUCUGAUACUGUUC
rnacentral:rRNA from 1 species